rnacentral:rRNA from 1 species
UACGAAGGGGGCUAGCGUUGCUCGGAAUUACUGGGCGUAAAGCGCACGUAGGCGGCUUUCUAAGUCGGGGGUGAAAUCCUGGAGCUCAACUCCAGAACUGCCUUCGAUACUGGAAAGCUCGAGUCCGGAAGAGGUGAGUGGAACUGCGAGUGUAGAGGUGAAAUUCGUAGAUAUUCGCAAGAACACCAGUGGCGAAGGCGGCUCACUGGCCCGGUACUGACGCUGAGGUGCGAAAGCGUGGGGAGCGAACCGG